CAAUUCUUUGCUAUCGGCAUCCGUUAAGUAAACUCAUUGUCACAGAUUACCAUCUGAAACUCUUCCAUGCAGGGCAGCAACUUCUCACAAGUAGUGUGCGAGAGAAAUACUGGCCAACUCAAAUCCGCAGAUUGGCUAACACCGUCGUACACGAAUGUGUAUCGUGCUUUCGUAACAAACCCAAGGUACUGGAACAACUCAUGGCAAAUCUCCCGUCGGAACGAGUAUCACCUGCUCCACCCUUUCUAAAAGUAGGCGUAGACUAUUGUGGUCCUUUCAUGGUUGCCAACUCAAAUCGCCGUGCCGCUCCACGGAAGUACUUCCUUGCUAUUUUUGUGUGCCUAGUGACGAAGGCUGUUCACCUCGAGUGUGUUGGAGACCUCACCAGCGAAGCCUUCAUCGCAGCUUUCAAGCGUUUCAUCGCACGUAGAGCAAUUCCAACAAUCAGUUGUUGAUGGUGCCGAACAAAACGAGGUCGAAUUCCGUUUCAUUCCACCCAGGUCACCCAACUUCGGUGGCCUUUGGGAAGCCGCGGUGAAAUCCUUUAAGGCCCACUUCAAACGCACCAUUGGUACCAGAAUUCUUCAGCAUGACGAAAUGCAAACUGCAGUAACACAAAUUGAAGCAAUCCUCAACUCCCGUCCUUUGACGCCCAUCAGCAGUGACCCGAUGGACUUUGAGGCGUUGACGCCGGGUCAUUUUUUAAUCCAGCGACCACUUACAGCGGUGCCCGAGCCCGACCUUAGUCAUCAAUCCACUAAUCGACUUUCAACGUGGCAAAAGGCUCAAGAUUUUGUGCAACAAAUGUGGAAAAAAUGGUCCCAACAAUAUUUGUCCGACCUCCACUGCAGAACGAAGUGGACACGUCGGAGAAACAAUAUCUUUAUCGGAACGAUGGUCGUUUUGAGAGAAGAUAAUCUGCCGCCUUUGAAAUGGAAGCUGGGACGAGUAGUAGAAGUUCAUGCGGGUACUGACGGAAACAUCCGUGUAGUAACUGUGAAGACCAAGGACGGACUGUACCGGAGGGCUAUUUCGAAAAUAUGCAUCUUACCCAUCCGGGACAACGAAGCUGAGUCAACUUCUGAGGAGUGCUAAAACUCCUUCACGUCAGCGCUUCGGCGCGAAAACUUACUACUAAGUCGGGAACCACAAGCCAAAUCAACCAGUGUCAAGUCAACUACUAAUGUCGAGUCCAGCAUGUAAUCUGUCCGUCUAUGAUGUAUUGUCCAGUCCAGCACAAUUCAGUAUCGUUCUGUGAAGUCUGACACCGAGGUGUCCGCAAUUUUGUAUCUGUCGAAAAGCAGUUUACCGUUACAAUAUAAUUUGUCAUCGUAGUCCAAGAAGCGGAUCGUUGCCACAACCAAUUCAACGACGGGGAAUCCAUGGCAUCCCUCUCAGCGCAGUAGCGAGGUCACCCAUGGGUUUGGCCAACUCAUGUCUGUGAUUCAUCAACGUUACUGCCAAUGUUGUCGCCAAACCGCUCGAUGACAAUUUACGAGCAGUUAUCCAAAGACGAGAAUCGUCAUCACCAGCGCCGGGGGCGCUUGCGGAGGCCAGGAGGCCUCCGCGCCAGGCAAGUUUCUUUUAGUUUGGGUUAUAUAGUUGUAAAAGCACCCGUUCAUCUUAUAGGGAAUUUGCUGCGCACGGCUCGAUAACAUUUCCUGAGCAUCCUAUCCGAUGACGAAGUUCGUCAACACCAGCGCCGGGGGCGCUUGCGGAGGCCAGGAGGCCUCCGCGCCAGGCAAGUUUCUUUCAGUUUGGGUUAUAUAGUUGUAAAAGCACCUGUUCAUCUUAUAGGGCAUUUUCGACACAUGUUACGCUGGCAAUUUAUGAGGAAUCAUCAACGAAGAUGUACGUCAGUCACGCUCAUGGAAUACCUCCAAGCCAAGCAUCUUCAGUUCACCACCAGUAGAGGUCUUGCUGUGAACCGAUCCAGUAAGGAUACGAAGGUCUGUCGAAGGAAGUACAGUCUGGCGUUGCUCCGAUCGGACGGAUCGUAGGCAGCAUUUCAAGAUCAAGUCGCAGCUUCUAAAAAUCACCAAAGGUCCACAACAGAAGUGUCAACUCACCGUAAUGUACAUCAUCAAAGGCAACAAUUUCAUCUCGUCAGUGUUCAGUACCAGUACCAGAUUAAAAGUAGUGUAUUACAUUAAGAUUAAGUAGCAAUUUUUGAAAUUGAAAUUUCAAGGCGGCCGGUAUGUCGCAGCAGAACAAUUCUAGCCGAAUAUCCUCUAUGUUUCAUACCACACAUAUUGUAACCACAUUCCAGUUGAUAACUCGCCGUUAAUGAUAUCAAGAGGGCACUAGGCACUCGCACUCUUCAAGAUACCUACCAUAGGCAGUACGAAUUAAUCUCGCGCGCGAAGCAGUCGAGUCUGCGUGAAAUCGAGACAAUAAAAGUUAUCCGA